rnacentral:rRNA from 1 species
GCCUACGGGGGGCAGCAGUGGGGAAUAUUGCGCAAUGGGCGAAAGCCUGACGCAGCGACGCCGCGUGAGGGAUGAAGGUCUUCGGAUCGUAAACCUCUGUCAGCAGGGAAGAACGGUCACUGUGCUAAUCAGCAGUGAAUUGACGGUACCUGCAAAGGAAGCACCGGCUAACUCCGUGCCAGCAGCCGCGGUAAUACGGAGGGUGCGAGCGUUAAUCGGAAUUACUGGGUGUAAAGCGCUCGUAGGCGGUAUGUCAAGUCAAGGGUGAAAUCCCCGCGCUCAACGGGGGAACUGCCUUUGAAACU